AUUGAACGCUGGCGGCAGGCCUAACACAUGCAAGUCGAGCGAGCGGCGGACGGGGGUGUAUUGUAUGGGGACUGCCCGAUAGAGGGGGAUAUCUACUGGAAACGGUAGCUAAUACCGCAUAUUACCGGAUAACCCAUAUGGGAUUAGCUAGUAGGUGGGGUAAUGGCUCACCUAGGCGAAGAUCCCUAGCUGGUCUGAGAGGAUGAUCAGCCAAACGGGUACUGAGACACGGCCCAGACUCCUACGGAGGCAGCAGUGGGGAAUAUUGCACAAGGGGCGCAAGCCUGAUGCAGCCAUGCCGCGUGUAUGAAGAAGGCCCUAGGGUUGUAAAGUACUUUCAGUCGGGAGGCGUUACCGACAGAAGAAGCACCGGCUAACUCCGUGCCAGCAGCCGCGGUAAUUC
rnacentral:rRNA from 1 species